rnacentral:rRNA from 1 species
CUUGGUCAUUUAGAGGAAGUAAAAGUCGUAACAAGGUUUCCGUAGGUGAACCUGCGGAAGGAUCAUUAGCGAAACGUUUGUCGAGAAGGGUUGUAGCUGGCCUCGUUUGGCACGUGCACGCCUGAAUCGCAAAUUUCACCCUAUCACACACCUGUGCACAUCCUGUAGCUUUGAGGCGCUGAUGAGGUGGAUUCCCAGCAUCAGAUGCGCUCUCGGCUGCAAGCUUUUAUCACACACACUUUAUUGAGUACUAGAAUGUAACUGUCGUAGCGUGUAAAAACGCGAAAUAUACAACUUUCAGCAACGGAUCUCUUGGCUCUCGCAUCGAUGAAGAACGCAGCGAAAUGCGAUAAGUAAUGUGAAUUGCAGAAUUCAGUGAAUCAUCGAAUCUUUGAACGCACCUUGCGCUCCUUGGUAUUCCGAGGAGCAUGCCUGUUGAGUGUCAUGAAAUUCUCAACUGCCUUUAUGGGGCUUUGUUCCCAGAAGGGGUGAAGUUGGAUUUGGAGGAUUAUCUUGCUGGCGCUCUUUAAUGAGCUUUGUCGGCUCCUCUCGAAUGCAUGAGCCUUCCUGUGCGUUAUUUGUGAAGCGAACUUCGAUGUGAUAAUUAUCUACGUUGGAUGUCGCGUUAGCAUUGGGCAUGAAUGGAUUGCAAAGUGCAGACGAUUGCAUCUUUUGGGAUGCGUCUUGAUCAAUUCGACCUCAAAUCAGGUAGGACUACCCGCUGAACUUAAGCAUAUCAAUAAGCGGAGG